AGUUAUGUAGCUUGGUUGGUAGUGCGUCUGCCUUGUAAGCGUUAGGCCGCGGGUUCGAUUCCCGCCCUGGCGG
rnacentral:tRNA from 1 species